rnacentral:rRNA from 1 species
AUGGAAGGAGCCACUCCCACUUCCGCUCCCUCGAGCACAAGGAUUGCUGUGGUCACCGGCGGGAGCAAAGGGAUCGGGCUGGAGGCGUGCAAGCAGCUGGCAGGCGGCGGCGCCAUCACCGUUGUUCUGACGGCCAGGAACGAGACGAGGGGAACAGCGGCGGUCGAGCAGAUCAAGCGGCUGGGGCACGCAGAUGUCAUCUUUCAUCAGCUGGACAUCACGGAUGCUUCCAGCAUCGCUCGACUCGCAGAUUUCCUCAAGACCCGUUUCGGGAAGCUUGACAUCCUGGUGAAUAACGCCGCGACGGAUGGGAUUGAGCAUGUCAUUGAUCCAGUUUAUGGCUUAACGCCCGGCGAUGAAACGUUCAAUGGCAUGGACGCGGGCCAGAGGAUCAAUUGGAUGUGGACCAGCUGCCGCCAGACGUACGAGACCGCGAAACAGGGCCUGCAGACAAACUACUACGGCACGAAGCGGGUGACGGAGGCUCUCCUGCCCCUGCUCCGAUCCUCGUCCGACGGAAGGAUCGUCAACGUCUCCUCCAACUUCGGAUUGCUCAGCGUAAGCAUCAUGCGUCGAUCACCACGCACAACAAAUAAGUUCCUCCAACAGCAACAAAAAAGAGGUCAUGAUUCGAUGCCAACCUUCUUCCUUCCUUUUCGGCCGCAGUUUUUCAGGAACGAGGAGCUGAAGCAGGAGCUGAACGACGUCGACAGCCUGACCGAGGAGAGGCUGGACGAGCUGCUGGCCAUGUUCCUCAAGGACUUCGAGGCCGGCGGCGCGGAGGCGCGCGGGUGGCCGGCCGAGUUCUCGGCGUACAAGGUGGCCAAGGCCGCCAUGAACGCCUACUCGAGAAUCCUGGCCAAGAGGCACCCGGAGCUGCGCGUCAACUGCGCGCACCCCGGCUACGUGAAGACGGAUAUCACCAGGAACUCCGGGAUCCUGACGCCGGAGGAGGGCGCGCGCAACAUCACCAGCGUUGCGCUGCUGCCGGAAGGCGGGCCCACCGGCAAGUACUUCUCCGAAGGCGAGGAGGCAUCCUUCGUGUGA